rnacentral:rRNA from 1 species
UACGUAGGGUGCAAGCGUUAUCCGGAAUUAUUGGGCGUAAAGAGCUCGUAGGCGGUUUGUCGCGUCUGCUGUGAAAACUGGAGGCUCAACCUCCAGCCUGCAGUGGGUACGGGCAGACUAGAGUGCGGUAGGGGAGAUUGGAAUUCCUGGUGUAGCGGUGGAAUGCGCAGAUAUCAGGAGGAACACCGAUGGCGAAGGCGGCAUCCUGGACCGGCAUUGACGCUGAGGCGCGAAAGCUAGGGGAGCAAACGGG